rnacentral:rRNA from 1 species
UACAGAGGGGGCAAGCGUUGUUCGGAAUUACUGGGCGUAAAGGGCGCGUAGGCGGCCUUCUAAGUCGAACGUGAAAUCCCCGGGCUCAACCCGGGAACUGCGUCCGAUACUGGAAGGCUUGAGUUUGGGAGAGGGAUGCGGAAUUCCAGGUGUAGCGGUGAAAUGCGUAGAUAUCUGGAGGAACACCGGUGGCGAAGGCGGCAUCCUGGACCAACACUGACGCUGAGGAGCGAAAGCCAGGGGAGCAAACGGG